rnacentral:misc_RNA from 1 species
UGAAUCUCCAACAUUGGCAACAUAGAGAUGAUUGCCAACCAGCAAAGCUGUUGAAGCAGUAGAGCCAUCGUCCCUUAAAGUAUCCUUUUCCGAAUUUAAAAAUUCAGCAUCCGUCUGUUGAUAUGUUUCACUGAUAGCUAAUUUGGUAUCCAUCAAAAAUUUUGGGUGCUUCAUCAGAUUCUCAAAGAGAUGGUCCUUCAAAAACUCUGCAGCUCGUGAUCCACCGUGACCAUCAAAGAUGCCAAAAAGGCAGACGGUUUGACCAUCGACCUUCGACAUUUUAAUAUCAAAGAAAUCUUCCAUGGUUGCCCUCUUCCCUCUGAAACUUGAAUACCCCCAACUAAGUUUCCCAUCUUCACUUUUCCACCCUCCACUUGUAUAGCCACCAUCUUCAUCUUUCUCUGGAUGCUUAUCAACAACCGGCCCACGAUUUUCCGAUGCACCCGUAUCUACCAUCAUCAUGAGACUUGUUCUAUAUUCACGCUUCCAGGUGUGAACAAAUCCAAGAUUGGAAGGCAAACUACUCCAGAUAUUGUUGAUUUGGACCCGUCUAUUGAUUAUUCCUAUACGUCCAGCCUGAGCAAUCACAUUCCUUAUAUUGUAGCUGCAUACCAUCUAAGCCAACAGUCAGGGUAGAAAAUGGAAG